rnacentral:rRNA from 1 species
GUGCCAGCAGCUGCGGUAAUACGUAGGUGGCAAGCGUUGUCCGGAUUUAUUGGGCGUAAAGCGAGCGCAGGCGGUUCUUUAAGUCUGAUGUGAAAGCCCCCCGGCUUAACCGGGGAGGGUCAUUGGAAACUGGGGAACUUGAGUGCAGAAGAGGAGAGUGGAAUUCCAUGUGUAGCGGUGAAAUGCGUAGAUAUAUGGAGGAACACCAGUGGCGAAGGCGGCUCUCUGGUCUGUAACUGACGCUGAGGCUCGAAAGCGUGGGGAGCAAACAGGAUUAGAUACCCUGGUAGUCCACGCCGUAAACGAUGAGUGCUAAGUGUUGGAGGUUUCCGCCUUCAGUGCUGCAGCUAACGCAUUAAGCACUCCGCCUGGGGAUACGACCGCAAGG